UACGUAGGGUGCGAGCGUUGUCCGGAAUUAUUGGGCGUAAAGAGCUUGUAGGCGGUUUGUCGCGUCUGCUGUGAAAAUCCGGGGCGUCAACCCCGGACUUGCAGUGGGUACGGGCAGACUAGAGUGCGGUAGGGGAGAUUGGAAUUCCGUGGUGUAGCGGUGGAAUGCGCAGAUAUCAGAAGGAACACCGAUGGCGAAGGCAGAUCUCUGGGCCGUAACUGACGCCUGGAGGGGCGAAAGCAUGGGGAGCGAAC
rnacentral:rRNA from 1 species